rnacentral:tRNA from 1 species
UCCCUGGUAGUCCAGUGGUUAAGACUCCGAGCUCCCAACACAGGGGGCUCAGGUUCGAUCCCUGGUCAAGGGA